CCUGGAGGAGACACAAACACCAACCAGAGCUUUGGCAAACACAACAAACCUAGCGAGUUUAAUGAAAAAGACCGGGGGUGGGGUGGAGCCUCCCCAGUGGCAGUCGUGGAGGGUGACGGUAGUAAAUGAUCACAAGCCAUCCGAGUCAAAUUUUCAAAUGGCCGCAGAUUCACGUUCUUCCCUCUCCUGCUUAUUUACAAGAUGGAUCGCGUUGGGAUUUCAUUAGUCAGAGCGAGACGGCACCCCGCUGUACGUCGCGGCCCCAUUUUGACUUCAAAAGGCGUUUGCACACUUUUGUCAUCAGCAAAUCUGCUUCCAAGGAGGGACCUGGAUUUAUUCUCUAGCCACGUGCGCACGCAGCUGGUGGGAAGCGUUCCAAACAAACAUUUUGGGAGGGGAGCCAUGCUGAAGCCUUUCUAGAGGUAGCUUGGGUGUCUGUGCUGCUGCCUUGUGCUUCAAAGUAUCCCGGAACUUUCACUCUUCUUCAGACACUCAACUUCCUUUGCGGCAAAAAAAUAGCCUUGAAACCACAGGAUGGCCCAUGGUGGAUUCACCCUGCCAACUUUCUUCCUCCUCAGGAAUGGCGCUAACACCAGAGCUCGCAGGUGGGGCGGCUACAGCCCCACAUCAGGAAUCUGUGUAGCCCCAGUUCAGUCAAUACAGUGAAACUCCUCUACAACGAAAUCAUGUUUGCAGCAAGACAUUUUUCACAACAGGGGGCUUUUCACUGUAGCAAAUUUGAUCUCAGAUGUAAACACACACACAAAC